rnacentral:rRNA from 1 species
AUUGAACGCUAGCGGGAUGCUUUACACAUGCAAGUCGAACGGCAGCGCGGACUUCGGUCUGGCGGCGAGUGGCGCAAGGGUGAGUAAAGUAUCGGAACGUGCUCAGUAGCGGGGUAUAACUACGCGAAAGCGUAGCUAAUACUGCAUACGCCCUACGGGGGCAAGCAGGGGGUCGUAAGACCUUGCCCUAUUGGAGCGGUCGAUAUCGGUUUUGCUAGUUUGUGAGGUAACGGGUCACCUAGGCGGCGAUCCGCAGCUGGAGUGAGUGGACGACCGGCCACCCUAGGACUGGGACGCGGCCCAGAGGCCUACGGGAGGGAGCAGUGGGGAAUGUUGGACAAUGGGGGCAACCCUGGUCCAGCCAUCCCGCGUGUGAGGUGGAGGCGUUCGGGUUGUGAAGCACGUUUGGCAGUAGAGAAACGCCGCGGGCUAAUACCCCGUGGGACUGACGGUACCGGCAGAAUAAGCACCGGCUAACUACGUG